GACGUAGGGCGCGAGCGUUGUCCGGAUUUAUUGGGCGUAAAGAGCUCGUAGGCGGCUUGUCGCGUCGUCCGUGAAAACUUGGGGCUCAACCCCAAGCUUGCGGUCGAUACGGGCAGGCUAGAGUUCGGUAGGGGAGACUGGAAUUCCUGGUGUAGCGGUAAAAUGCGCAGAUAUCAGGAGGAACACCGGUGGCGAAGGCGGGUCUCUGGGCCGAUACUGACGCUGAGGUGCGAAAGCGUGGGGAGCAAACAGG
rnacentral:rRNA from 1 species